AAAAAAAAACUGUAUUGCUGAAGUUCAUUCAUUCCAUUUACUAAGAUGAUGAUAUUGGUUUCAUAGGUUGUCCAUUGCUGCCAGAAGCAUCUUCAUUCAAUUCUAAUUGAGAAGACAGAAGCUGCAGAAUCAACUUUGCUUUCAAAAUGUAGGACUAUAUGUGUUUGGCACCCAACAAGUUGAAGCGUAUAAAAUACGACCUUUCCAACCUUGAAGCAUCCAAUUCUUGUCUUCAUCAACAUCAAAAUCUCUACGGUACCACUGCUUUAAGUUAGUCCUAAAUUUUGCCAUUAAUUCUUGGUCCAAUAGAAGCUGCUUGAAACCAGCCUUAGUAUUCCUAACCUGCCACAGUUUAUAUGUCUCAGGCCUCUCAACUCUCUCUAAACCUUCACAUGCUACCACAUUCAUAAUUUCCCUACCCAUAAUUUCCCUCUCUAUCAUUGUCCUCCAUUCAUUUUCUCUUGGUAUGACAGUGUCCAACAUAUCAUAACUAGCAGAAAAAUGAAAUCAUGCCUCCCUAAAACGUGUUGCAAAGAAUGGUGAAUUAUACGAUCCAUUAAUAACAGAAAGAGUAAAAAUAUCAGGAUUUAUCUUCCUAAUAAAAUGCAGAACCGCAUUUCUAGGACUGUUCACUUUGAUGCUCUCAUCUAUUAAAUUCUUAAACCUUGUCAUACAGUUUACAGAGAUUACCUCAUUGCUUUCAAUUCUAACAUCUUCAACUCGAAUUUUUUCCCAAUUCUGUGAUGCUAUGAUAUUGUACUCGAAUGGAACACUGAAACUCUUGCAGUAGUUGGCCAGACGGCGACCAGUCUCCUCAAUUCUUCCAGUCGGACAAAAUCCAGCAGCAGUGAUCCUCUUGGUGCUUGGCGAGGAAUAGAAUGUUUGUGCACCGGCUCCCUCACCUACAAGGCGUGCCUCAAGUCCAUUAGCAAAGUAAUGUGUUACCCUUUGUGAUGCAUCUCCAAAGAGCGAAGUGUGUUUCCUAAUCUGCUUCAGUAGUUCCCUAGCAUUCCUGUUGUCAUUGGCAUACAAAGCUUGUGAGCACAGAAGCAGAAGAUUCCUCAAAUCAAUCGUUUCGUUUUUGCUAUUAUGUUUCUUAGGACGAGCCUUAGCUCCACCAGCUGAAGGCGUGUUCUCAUUCGGAAAGCAAUCAUUUUCGUCAUUAAGUAAAGCUUUAUCAAACAUUUCUGAUAGCUCAUCCUCAUCAACACCACCACCAAUAGCUGAUUGCUUGUUAUUUCUCCUCCCUUCUUCAUCUUCUUCGCGCUCGUGAUUCUUUCUACCUUUCAACACAACUGAAUUAUCUUUCUCCUCGAAUAUAUUGAAGUUGGAUGAUUCUAGACUAGUCAAGAGCUGAGGCUGAGGAGGAAGAAACUUGUUGGCUUCUUCAAAACCUCUCUUGAAUUGGGAAACAGAAUCUGCAUUUCCGAAAAUGUUUUGUGCUAACAAAUUGGUAAUAGAAGAAUCCAAAUCAACAAGUCCAUCACUAACACUAGUUGAAAGAGGGGAAAUAAACUGAAAAACAUGAGUACCAAGAUCAGAAACAAGGGUAUCAGGAGAAAGAGGUUUCGUUGAGCUAUUACUAGUGCUGCUGAUUCUUUGAUCAGAGUUAUGAAAAUGUAAGGGGUGUUGAUUGGGGGAAAGAGCAUCAAAGAAUGAUUUUUCUGUGAUUUGUAAGCUAAGUGGAUCAUAAUAGGGUCUCAGAUCAAAGUUUUCUUCCAUAAGUAUUUGGGUUAUGAACUUUGUGGUUUCUGAAAAAUCAGUGUCUUCCAUAUAACCUUGUUGAAACUCAUCAUCACAGUUUGAAUAAUCCAUAUGGUUGAGAAACAGUAAUCUGAUAUCAUCAGAUUACAGUUGUUGUGGAAAGAUAAUCUAUAAAUAACAAUACUUUAUUUAUUGUCGAUAA